rnacentral:miRNA from 10 species
UUCUCCUGCCUCAGCCUCCUGAGUGCUGGGAUUACAGGCAUGCACCACCAUGCCCGGCUAAUUUUUGUAUUUUUAGUAGAGAUA